CCGAUCGCGUUCUACACCUAGAACACCGUGAACCGUAUGGAGAGUUGGGGGUCGUCCCGUCGAGGACGUCAAACGAUGAGAGCGCCUCUCCCCGGGGUUGAUUCUCACGGCCCCCACGUUAAUUUUUUUUUCCUACCAACACCUUUACUGCAGAAAGCUUGUCCGAACGGACAAAAAACUAAAAGUUC
rnacentral:misc_RNA from 1 species